UGUAUGUAAUUUUUAGACUGCAAAACGAUCUUUGAGAAGUACAUUUGAAAGAUUUGAAAGAUUUCGACGUAGGGAAGUGUAAUUAUUGAAGAAUAAGCAAGCUAACCAAAGUCCUACUCUACAAGCAUUAGGAAAUUAGCUCUUAUUUUCCUGCCCUAAAGGCAAUGCCAUAUGCAAUUAAAAAGAAAUAAGAUGUCAGUUACCUGUUUGAAGUAUGAAGACUCAAAUUUUCUUGAUCAGUGCAAUUUAUCUCCCUUGGAAAUUCAUGGUCAAUGCUGUGUCCAUCACUCGAUCCUGUGUCAUCUUCUGAAAAAUUAAGAAAGAAAAUUUAUUAUCAAAGGUCCACUUUGAGCUUCAUCCACUGUAACAAAGAAUGAAGAUUAAAAUCUUGCAGUGCAAUUUAUCUCCCUUGGAAAUUUAUGUACAAUGCUGUGUCCAUCACUCGAUCCUGUGUCAUCUUCUGGAAAAGUAAAGAAAGCAAAUUUAUUAUCAAAGGUCCACUUUGAGCUUCAUCCACUGAAACAAAGAAUGAAAAUUGAAGUCUUGCAGGUGAAUAUAU